rnacentral:rRNA from 1 species
UGCCAUGCCGCGUGUGUGAAGAAGGCCUUAUGGUUGUAAAGCACUUUAAGCGAGGAGGAGGCUCUUUUGGUUAAUACCCAAGAUGAGUGGACGUUACUCGCAGAAUAAGCACCGGCUAACUCUGUGCCAGCAGCCGCGGUAAUACAGAGGGUGCGAGCGUUAAUCGGAUUUACUGGGCGUAAAGCGUGCGUAGGCGGCUUUUUAAGUCGGAUGUGAAAUCCCCGAGCUUAACUUGGGAAUUGCAUUCGAUACUGGGGAGCUAGAGUAUGGGAGAGGAUGGUAGAAUUCCAGGUGUAGCGGUGAAAUGCGUAGAGAUCUGGAGGAAUACCGAUGGCGAAGGCAGCCAUCUGGCCUAAUACUGACGCUGAGGUACGAAAGCAUGGGGAGCAAACAGGAUUAGAUACCCUGGUAGUCCAUGCCGUAAACGAUGUCUACUAGCCGUUGGGGUCUUUGAGACUUUAGUGGCGCAGCUAACGCGAUAAGUAGACCGCCUGGGGAGUACGGUCGCAAGACUAAAACUCAAAUGAAUUGACGGGGGCCCGCACAAGCGGUGGAGCAUGUGGUUUAAUUCGAUGCAACGCGAAGAACCUUACCUGGUCUUGACAUAGUAAGAACUUUCCAGAGAUGGAUUGGUGCCUUCGGGAACUUU